CUACGGGUUGCACCAGUAGGGAGUAUUUGGCAAUGGGGGAAACCCUGACCGAGCAACGCCGCGUGAAGGAUUAAGGCCUUCGGGUCGUAAACUUCUGUGGAGGGCUGGGAAACACACGUGGAGGAAAUGCCAUGUGCCUGACCGGCCCUCUAGAAAGCAACUGCUAACUACGUGCCAGCAGCAGCGGUAAUACGUAGGUUGCAAGGUUAUCCGGAAUUAUUGGGCGUAAAGAGUGAGCAGGCGCCCAUCAAGCGGAAGGUCAAAUGCGGCGGCUUAACCGUCGUUCGCUUUCCGAACUGAUAGGCUAGAGUGCUGGAGAGGCAAGCGGAACUCCACAUGUAGCGGUGAAAUGCGCAGAUAUGUGGAAGAACACCGGUGGCGAAGGCGGCUUGCUAGACAGUAACUGACGCUCAGUCACGAAAGCGUGGGGAGCAAAUAGGAUUAGAUACCCCAGUAGUC
rnacentral:rRNA from 1 species